rnacentral:rRNA from 1 species
AGCAGCCGCGGUAAUUCCAGCUCCAAUAGCGUAUAUUAAAGUUGUUGCAGUUAAAAAGCUCGUAGUUGAAUUUCGGGGUUAGUAGGUUGGUCAUGCCUCUGGUAUGUACUGGUCUCACUGAUUCCUCCUUCCUGAUGAGCCGUAAUGCCAUUAAUUUGGUGUUGCGGGGAAUUUGGACUGUUACUUUGAAAAAAUUAGAGUGUUUAAAGCAAGCUAACGCUUGAAUACAUUAGCAUGGAAUAAUGAAAUAGGACGUUUGAUUCUAUUUUGUGGUUUCUAGGAUCGACGUAAUGAUUAAUAGGAAUAGUUGGGGGCAUUAGUAUUCAAUUGUCAGAGGUGAAAUUCUUGGAUUUAUUGAAGACUAACUACUGCGAAAGCAUUUGCCAAGGAUGUUUUCAUUAAUCAAGAACGAAAGUUAGGGGAUCGAAGACGAUCAGAUACCGUCGUAGUCUUAACCAUAAACUAUGCCGACUAGGGAUCGGAUGAUGUUAAUUUUUAAUGACUCAUUCGGCGCCUUACG